rnacentral:rRNA from 1 species
AGUGAACGCUGGCGGUAGGCCUAACACAUGCAAGUCGAACGGCAGCACAGUAAGAGCUUGCUCUUACGGGUGGCGAGUGGCGGACGGGUGAGGAAUACAUCGGAAUCUACUUUUUCGGGGGGGAUAACGUAGGGAAACUUACGCUAAUACCGCAUACGACCUACGGGUGAAAGCAGGGGAUCUUCGGACCUUGCGCGAUUGAAUGAGCCGAUGUCGGAUUAGCUAGUUGGCGGGGUAAAGGCCCACCAAGGCGACGAUCCGUAGCUGGUCUGAGAGGAUGAUCAGCCACACUGGAACUGAGACACGGUCCAGACUCCUACGGGAGGCAGCAGUGGGGAAUAUUGGACAAUGGGCGCAAGCCUGAUCCAGCCAUACCGCGUGGGUGAAGAAGGCCUUCGGGUUAUAAAGCCCUUUUGUUGGGAAAGAAAAGCAGCAGGUUAAUACCCCGCUGUUCUGACGGUACCCAAAGAAUAAGCACCGGCUAACUUCGUG